rnacentral:rRNA from 1 species
CAUGCAAGUCGAACGAGAAUCUGUGGAACGAGGAUUCGCCCAAGUGAAGCAGAGGACAGUGGCGGACGGGUGAGUAACGCGUGAGGAACCUGCCUUUCAGAGGGGGACAACAGUUGGAAACGACUGCUAAUACCGCAUGACACAUUGAAGUCGCAUGGCUUUGAUGUCAAAGAUUUAUCGCUGAAAGAUGGCCUCGCGUCUGAUUAGCUAGUUGGUGAGGUAACGGCCCACCAAGGCGACGAUCAGUAGCCGGACUGAGAGGUUGAACGGCCACAUUGGGACUGAGAUACGGCCCAGACUCCUACGGGAGGCAGCAGUGGGGAAUAUUGGGCAAUGGGCGCAAGCCUGACCCAGCAACGCCGCGUGA